AAAAAGAAACAAUUUCCAUGUUGCACAAAAUGACACCCACGACACCCCCCUCUUUCUGCUGGGUUUCCACCUUCCCCGUCUGACACACACACACACACACACACACACACACACACACACACACACACACACACACACACACACACACACACAC